rnacentral:tRNA from 1 species
GUUAAUGUAGCUCAGAGGUAGAACAUUUGCCUAGCAUGCAAAAGAUACUGGGUUCAGUUCUCAGCAUCACA